rnacentral:rRNA from 1 species
GAUGAACGCUAGCUACAGGCUUAACACAUGCAAGUCGAGGGGUAACGAGAGGAAAGCUUGCUUUCCUUGUCGACGACCGGCGCACGGGUGAGUAACGCGUAUCCAACCUGCCCCCAACUAGGGAAUAACCUUGCGAAAGUAAGACUAAUACCCUAUAAUUUCCUCAGAUGUCAUCUGAAGAGGACUAAAGAUUUAUCGGUUGUGGAUGGGGAUGCGUCUGAUUAGCUUGUUGGCGGGGUAACGGCCCACCAAGGCAACGAUCAGUAGGGGUUCUGAGAGGAAGGUCCCCCACAUUGGAACUGAGACACGGUCCAAACUCCUACGGGAGGCAGCAGUGAGGAAUAUUGGUCAAUGGGCGGAAGCCUGAACCAGCUAAGUAGCGUGCAGGAUGACGGCCCUAUGGGUUGUAAACUGCUUUUAUACAGGAAUAAAGUUAGCCACGUGUGGUUAUUUGUAGGUACUGUAUGAAUAAGGACCGGCUAAUUCCGUGCCAGCCGCCGCUGUAA